rnacentral:rRNA from 1 species
AGCGAACGCUGGCGGCAGGCUUAACACAUGCAAGUCGAGGGGAGCGGCAGACGGGUGAGUAACGCGUGGGAAAGUACAUUUUGGGUCGGAACAACACUGGGAAACUUUUGCUAAUACCGGAUAGCGAAAGAUCGGGCCGCGUCUGAUCAUCAAGUUGGUGGGGUAAUGGCCUACCAAGGCGACGAUCAGUAGCUGGCCUGUGAGGAUGAUCAGACACGUUGGGACGUGGACACGGCCCACACUCCUACGGAAGGCAGCAAUGGGGAAUAUUGGACAAUUGGGGCAACCCUGAUCCAGCCAUGCCGCGUGAGUGAUGAAGGCACUAUGGUUGUGAAGCUCUUUUGUGCGGGAAGCGGUACCGGAAGAAUAAGCCCCGGCUAACUGCGUGCCAGCAGCCGCGGUAAUUC